rnacentral:rRNA from 1 species
UACGAAGGGGGCUAGCGUUGUUCGGAAUCACUGGGCGUAAAGGGCGCGUAGGCGGCUUUAUAAGUCGGGGGUGAAAGCCUGUGGCUCAACCACAGAAUUGCCUUCGAUACUGUAGAGCUUGAGACCGGAAGAGGUAAGUGGAACUGCGAGUGUAGAGGUGAAAUUCGUAGAUAUUCGGAAGAACACCAGUGGCGAAGGCGGCUCACUGGCCCGGUACUGACGCUGAGAUACGAAAGCGUGGGGAGCAAACAGG